ACCUUAAUUAGUCUAUGUUAAGUAUACUUAUAGUCAACGGCAAAUUCUGUAUUACGAUCCGAUAAUUCUAGAACUAUUUGCAUAACAAUACUCUGUACCGUGUGAAAGUAGAAGCCAACCCUCUUAUAAAAUCGUGUGAUUAUCGUCUACAAUAAUUCAAUUUCAGUUACGAUUACACAAGUUCCCACCGAGCAGGGUUUCUCCCCUAAAGUACAGGUAACAGAUAGAAGGUAAGACGUUCGAGGGGACGAAAUCAAAGCGUACAAAGAACAGGGAACCAUUGUGUGCGCUUACGCAAGGAGUCCACGUGCGCGCGCGCUCCCACGGUCAAAUGGGGAGGGAUUUCGGGAAUCAAAUAAAAGGGACAGAAUCCUGGUCGUAGCAUCAAACUCAAACAGUAAGCGCUACAGUGCACAGCUCCGGGGGACCGCACCACUGCGCCCCCGGUGGUGCCAGAUUUCUUUACUAACUUCAGUUUGAAUUAAGAGUUCAAAAAUAACUUGUGCUAAUUUACUAUUAAGUAAACUAUAAAAUUGUGAACAAUGAGAAAAUCUUCACGACUGAAGCCGAGACUUGUCCUACGGAUAUUUAAAAUAAUGAGAACACAGAGUAAUGUGUAAACAGAAUGAGGAAGGAAAAGUUUCAAAUUAUCAACAUUACCAAAUUCCAAUAUUAACAAAGCUGGAUAAUUAUGGGAACUUAAUAGCCUGACAGGUUACCAGUGAACAGUACCAAUGAUCACUAUGGCAACUCAACAGCCUGACAGCUUACCACCCAGCAGUAUCAACGAUGGAAAUCAAAGCAAACAAACCAAAGGAGACCACUUGAGGUGAAUGCAAACCAUCAUUUCUAGACUCCCCAAAGAUAGGAUAGGCGUACUUAGAACUUAAGAUUUUCGUGUGACUUAGGGAAUUAAGUUAAUACCUCUAUGGUAAAACCUUAAUUAAUGUACAUAAAAUUUCAUUUAGUUUAACCUCCAAUGAAGCCUUAUUCACUAUGUUAGUUAAAAAUAGGUUUUAGAUAAGUACUUGGAUCAAAUUUUAAGAGCAUCGUAGUUCAUAAUUUGAACUAAAAGUGCCUUAAUGAUCGGUGUUGUUGUCAAAACUUAGUUACGUUUCAUGUUUUGUUUGCACCAGUUCCAAUUGUUCAUGUUUUGGACAUGUUUUUGCUAUUGUUACAUCUGUUGUAUUUUACUAAAGUAGUUGUUUUCUGUUAAUUUUGGCUCCAGAUUAAAAUUCAGUAUUUGCGAUGUACAGUACAUGCAGCUGUUAUUUUCAGUUAUAAUUGCAACAUGUGUGUACAUACUUGGUAAUUAACAUUAAACUACUGUAUUUUAUCUAGGCUAACUCAGAUAAUUAGGUCUUACAAAAGUUCUAAAGUUACCUUUCGUUAACCAAUCAUAACACAAUGGUAUCGCACACCAAGAACUUGUGUUCAAUGUUUUUGUUAAAAUUGUUGAAUUUUUGUUUUAAUUUACGGAAACCAGCUGGACUGGGAGCGUAAUCAUUUGUUAACGUACCUUAUUUCAGUAUGUCAAGUUAAGUUUAUGUUUCAAAAUCUGUUGAUUUUUUGUUUUUCAAUAGAAAGUCCAAACCACUUUCGUUAACACCAAAAGUUAAUCAAUCAUUAUGUUUUUUUUUGUUUUGUUGAAACGUACUCACAAACCGUUACAUGUUUUGUUGCUGUUCAAGUUUGCUCCGAGUUGGCCGUUAAUUUGUUGUUUUUUUUUUGUUAACACCUCCGGAACUUCUCGUUUUGAAUUUGUUGAUUUAAAGUUACCUUUAGUUUUUGUUGAUCAGUAUCAUUUUCAGUUUUGAUAAAGUCGCAUUAACACCUAAUUUUUCAUUCGUUCACCAAAACCGUUCAAGUUUUUUGUUAUUUGAUACUAGAUGCUUCUUAACCGUUGAUUUGACUGUUAUUUUGGUUUAAGUUUAUCUUUGUGCUGUAUUAUUAUCUUGUUCAUUUCAGUUUCAAAUCCUUUGAAAUCACAAUUGUCCAAACGCGCUCUUAGAUAUUUCUGAUUAAAUAAAACAAAACAAAAUUUUGAACUCAAGCGAUUAGAGUAUUUUGUUUUGUUUUAAUAAAAUACUAAAAUAGAAAUCCACAAUUCGGUAACUCACGAAAUAGACCAAUUAGUAUUCUUUCAAUAAGAGCCUGGAGUAUUUUCAGCGUUUAUUUCAUCUACCACCGAAGUUGUUACAGCAUUGUUAAGUUUUUGUUUAAUCGUUUGACUAAGUAGUUGAUUUCACUGUUUUCAAUUGUUUUGUUUUGAUUUUCAAGCCUCGUAGAUUCAUAAAACAGAACCAAAAGUACUGUUUGCAAAUUCCUUGUAAGUUCCCUUCCCUUUUAUCUUUCAACACGCCUUACUCGCACUCAUAAGACGAAAUCCUCCCUCAUAAACUUUCCUUUUAUGUUAACAAUUCAAUAACUUCCUUCAUCACCUCAUCUAUUGUUUUUAUUAAGUUUUGUUUAUGCCUGAAGUUACUGCCUCGUUGAUUUGACUGUUGAAUUCAAGUUAAGUUUUUGUUUUGUUGCUAGCUGCCAACUCAAACACAUGAUUUCGUGUAUUGUUUUAAUUUUCUUGACAUACUUGUGAAAUACCAAUUUGUACUUCUAUGUAAUUUAAAAGCUUAGUACGUUUGAACAAAAAAUACUUUUCCCAUUAUUAAAAAAAAUACAGAUUCACAUAGUACUGUUCACUUCAGUAUCUAAUACAGUGAAUACUUUCUAUACUCUCAGUAUGGUUAUCCUAAUUCAGACACACUGUUAUCCAUUCUUGUAAUAUAGUUUGUUGAGUUUUUGUUUAUGGCUAGGUUACGUUAUCCACCCAAAUUGUUGAUUUGACUGUUAAAUAAAAUUUAAGUUUUUGUUUUGUUCUUAAAUUUUCCUUCAACCCAAAAUUCUGAUAUUAAUUCAUACGUUGUCCUUUUGAAAUAUUCAGCCUUUCUCAUUUUUUAAAUUCCUUAACGAAAAUUUUAAUUUCCUUUCCGACAGUUUUCUUCAGUUUCUUCAUUUUGUUAAGUUUUGUUUUAUAUUUCUUGAAACAAUCACGCCGUGCCUUAAUAACCUUAUGUGCCUGAAAUUGUUUCAUAUGUGUUCUUUGCCUCCAAAUAGGGUUUUGACCGUCGUCAUAAUCCUAUUUAGAUGCAUUUUGACCAUGCAUUGUGGCUAUUUAUGAGCAUCUACAUUUUCUAUUGAAUGUCUAAGUAUUAUUACAUUAAUAAUAUUAAUUAAGACUUCAAUAUCACGAAUUGUAAUAUGUUUCAAUAAAUGCUAUAAUCAUGGUCCAUUUUCUAUGUGUUAGUGUUACUAGCCUGAUGACCGUUUUGUCCCCUCGAUAACGUUUUGUUAUGGUAAAAGCAUCAUUACCUGCACACACAAUAUUGUUAAUUUGAGCGUCUAGUUACCCAGCAGCGAUGUAAAUUGCAUUGUUAAGCUUAUAAUGAAAUUUAAACCUAUCAACCAAUAGCUCCAAAAGUGAUUGAGAAUAAAGGACAUAACUGGGGAUAAAAUUGUCAUUACGCACCUAUUGUUUUUACCAUUUGGUAUAAUUUUGUUGAACAAUUAAUAUUGUUAAUGUUACAUAGUUGUAAGCGUUGAAUUGUUGUUAAGUUUGAAUUGUGAUAUUAUUGUUAAUUUAUUGAUCAUGGCUGUGUUUGUUAAUUUUAUGUUAAGUUUUCGUUUUAACGAUUAUUGUUCAUUGUUCUUUGCCGACAUUAAGGCCACCGAAUAACACCAAACUUACUGUAGUGUAACAUUGUAGUAUAUGUUUGUAUUUAAGAUCUUAGAUGUUUGUAUUAAGAGAAUCUUAGUAACUGUAUUAUGAAACUGGUAUGUUAAACCAAAGCUUUGUAUAAAAUUAACAAAUAGGUUAGUUAGGGUAACUAUUUAUUAGAGAUGUAUGACAGUGCGUGUGUUUGUGUGAAUUAAAUACAAAAACAACUA